GCGGCAGCUUACACAUGCAGUCGAGCGGGGAAAGGUAGCUUGCUACUGGACCUAGCGGCGGACGGGUGAGUAAUACUUAGGAAUCUGCCUAUUAGUGGGGGACAACGUUCCGAAAGGAGCGCUAAUACCGCAUACGCCCUACGGGGGAAAGCAGGGGAUCACUUGUGACCUUGCGCUAAUAGAUGAGCCUAAGUCGGAUUAGCUAGUUGGUGGGGUAAAGGCCUACCAAGGCGACGAUCUGUAGCGGGUCUGAGAGGAUGAUCCGCCACACUGGGACUGAGACACGGCCCAGACUCCUACGGGAGGCAGCAGUGGGGAAUAUUGGACAAUGGGGGGAACCCUGAUCCAGCCAUGCCGCGUGUGUGAAGAAGGCCUUUUGGUUGUAAAGCACUUUAAGCGAGGAGGAGAGGCCCUAGGUUAAUACCCUAGGUGCUUGGACGUUACUCGCAGAAUAAGCACCGGCUAACUCUGUGCCAGCAGCCGCGGUAAUACAGAGGGUGCGAGCGUUAAUCGGAUUUACUGGGCGUAAAGCGUGCGUAGGCGGCCAUUUAAGUCGGAUGUGAAAUCCCCGAGCUCAACUUGGGAAUUGCAUUCGAUACUGGGUGGCUAGAGUAUAAGAGAGGAAGGUAGAAUUCCAGGUGUAGCGGUGAAAUGCGUAUAGAUCUGGAGGAAUACCGAUGGCGAAGGCAGCCUUCUGGCCUAAUACUGACGCUGAGGUACGAAAGCAUGGGGAGCAAACAGGAUUAGAUACCCUGGUAGUCCAUGCCGUAAACGAUGUCUACUAGCCGUUGGGGUCUUUGAGACCUUAGUGGCGCAGCUAACGCGAUAAGUAGACCGCCUGGGGAGUACGGUCGCAAGACUAAAACUCAAAUGAAUUGACGGGGGCCCGCACAAGCGGUGGAGCAUGUGGUUUAAUUCGAUGCAACGCGAAGAACCUUACCUGGCCUUGACAUACUAGAAACUUUCCAGAGAUGGAUUGGUGCCUUCGGGAAUCUAGAUACAGGUGCUGCAUGGCUGUCGUCAGCUCGUGUCCUGAAAUGUUGG
rnacentral:rRNA from 1 species